rnacentral:lncRNA from 1 species
GAUCCUGUGACCUGGAGGCAUUCAAUAAGAAAUAUGUACCUAGAGCCUGAAAGAUGUGGCUUUCACAGGUUUGCUCAUUAUUAUUAUAUAUUAAAUAAAGAGGUUUUCAAUCAUAAGUUGAGCAUCAGAGCAUUGUGUAAUUUUGAUGUUUGAUACAAUGGUGCAUUUUUAACAAAGUAAAAAACUAAAUGCAAAAAGCUAACAUGCCCGUUAGGAUGGUAUCCAUGGGGCUGUCCACCAUUAGAGUGAUGUCCACAUGGGCUGCACAAAGCUGGUCUGAGGCAGUGAUCAACCCUGGUUAUGCUCUGUUAGAGACUCAUAAGGAACUUUUCAAAGUAUUGGCGUCUAAUCUGAUCCACAUCUUAGAGACAAUGCCUGUACACCUUAAAGCUUCGGUCAUGGUUCUAGUGCCCAGUCAGAGCUGAGACCACUUCUGUUCAAUGGGGUUCCUUAAUUUGCUAUCUAAAGGUCUGUAAUGUGUGUUUGUUAUAUUUAACCAGAAUCUUUCUAGGUCUGUAGUGUAUGUAAAUGGAUUCUAAGUAAAUAUAGCGCUUGGAUUUUCUGUACUCCUGAGCAUUUUCCGUGUGUUAACUCAUUUAACCAUGAGAGACUGUAUUGUUUUUAUCACGAAUUUAGAGCAGGAAACUAAGGAACAAAAGCUCAAAUUACUCCACCAAAGUUAAAAGUGUGAGUAACGAACAGAAAAGCAAGUCCAUGUAGAUAGAACUUAUUCCGGGAUCAGAAUUCUUAAAUUUCUCCUUCUCAGAAAUAUGCUUAAAGGAAUAACUACAUAUACACACGUGUAAUAAAUAAUUUUUAAAGGAUAAAGACAUGACUAUGGACAGCACAUAAAAGUGAAUCCUGAAGGUAACAGACUGCUUAGUAAUGAGGCCUUGAAGUAGCUGGCAGGCACAUGGUUAUUAAAGCUGCUUAUCUGAAUUACUGCGAUGGUGUAGUUACAUGUGGGAGAUAAGUGAAAACAGGAUGUCUAAGCUCAUAAAGACGCAGAAGAGCUGGAAGAACAUCGACGCGUGCUCAGCGUGCCGCUCUUCCAUGUAGCCUGCAGAAUUUAUAAACAUGAGAAGGGCAUGUUACACAGCCAAGUGUCUCAAGUGAUCAAUACUCAGGGCUGACCUCAGUGUUUUACCGUGUGAUGAGGUUUCAGCGCCUCCGUCCGCGUGGGUGAUCGCCAACAUACAGAAAUAACUGGAGUAAUGUUACUCAAUUUACCAAUAAUUGUUCCAUAUGUGUUCAUAGGGUUAACAGGUUAGAUGAGACUUUAAGCUGAGUGAAGAGCCACAGAUUAUAAGUCUCCUUUAGUAACAGCUCAUGGAUCAUAUUGGCUAUUUUUUUACUCAGAAUAGUAAACUAUUUUACCAUAUU